rnacentral:rRNA from 1 species
UACGUAGGGUGCGAGCGUUGUCCGGAAUUAUUGGGCGUAAAGGGCGCGUAGGCGGCCUGUUAAGUCGGCUGUGAAAGCCUGGGGCUCAACCCCAGAGGGUCGGCCGAUACUGGCAAGCUAGAGUACGGAAGAGGUAGCUGGAAUUCCCGGUGUAGCGGUGAAAUGCGUAGAUAUCUGGAGGAACACCGGUGGCGAAGGCGGCAUUCUGGACCGAUAUUGACGCUGAGGAGCGAAAGCCAGGGGAGCAAACGGG